rnacentral:rRNA from 1 species
GAUGAACGCUGGCGGCGUGCCUAAUACAUGCAAGUAGAACGCUGAAGGAGGAGCUUGCUCUUCUGGAUGAGUUGCGAACGGGUGAGUAACGCGUAGGUAACCUGCCUGGUAGCGGGGGAUAACUAUUGGAAACGAUAGCUAAUACCGCAUGACAACAGUUAUUGCAUGAUAACUGUUUAAAAGGGGCAACUGCUCCACUACCAGAUGGACCUGCGUUGUAUUAGCUAGUUGGUGAGGUAACGGCUCACAAAGGCGACGAUACAUAGCCGACCUGAGAGGGUGAUCGGCCACACUGGGACGGAGACACGGCCCAGACUCCUACGGGAGGCAGCAGUAGGGAAUCUUCGGCAAUGGACGGAAGUCUGACCGAGCAACGCCGCGUGAGUGAAGAAGGUUGUCGGAUCGUAAAGCUCUGUUGUAAGAGAAGAACGAGUGUGAGAGUGGAAAGUUCACACUGUGACGGUAUCUUACCAGAAAGGGACGGCUAACUACGUG